rnacentral:rRNA from 1 species
UACAGAGGGUGCGAGCGUUAAUCGGAAUUACUGGGCGUAAAGCGUGCGUAGACGGUUAUUUAAGUCGGAUGUGAAAGCCCCGGGCUCAACCUGGGAAUUGCAUUCGAGACUGAAUAGCUAGGGUGCGGUAGAGGGAAGCGGAAUUUCCGGUGUAGCGGUGAGAUGCGUAGAUAUCGGAAGGAACAUCAGUGGCGAAAGCGGCUUCCUGGACCAGCACCGACGUUCAGGCACGAAAGCGUGGGGAGCAAACAGG